CAUUUAUUAAAAGAUAUAUAAAAACGCAGGUGAGCACGCGCAGAGUAUACUAGUGUCGCUACGAUUAGUUGCUGUGACAGAUUUCCUAACCUGUCAUACCGGUCAACUUUAACGUUUCAUAUCUCGCUUCACGGUGUGGAGCGACGACUUUAGUUUACAAAUUCGGUUUCUACGCGUUAAAAUACAUAAUUUAUGUGAAUUUCAGCGAAAUCAGAACUGAGAUGGCUUUCACCAAGCGAGUGUUGUACAAUGCCUCUUGAUUUUCCUUGCCCCCGAACCAAGUCAAAAGUGGCAUCAAGGAGUCCUGGAUGCUGUCCUUGAAACACAGAUUUACAGCUUCUUUAAAGUUGAAGCCACCGAUGUAAUGGAAAUAGUUGACCUGAAACAGAAAAGACAGCAUUGUUGUAAAGUUCUAUAUGAAUAUCCUGGAAAGCACGUAAUUGUGCGAUCGAUACUAUGGGGAACAUCUCUGGUCUACAUGGCACUGAAGUACAUUGGUUGGUGUUUUGCACACACUUGUAGAUAUUCUCCAAGAGUGUAUUCAUUUUCCUGACAACACAAGAUGGUAUAUGUCGUAAUCGGCAUUUCGAAAGGCCUCUGCGUUCCGAGUUCCAAACUCAAAUGCAAGCGGCCUUACGAACAGCUAAGGAGCGGCACAGGCACAGAAGACGAGGGACAACGGCAGGAGGACCAAGGAUCCAGAGGGACUUAUGAGGCGACAAUCGUGAGGAAGAACAAGAGGAAGAGCCCGAAAAUACAUAAAGAAACAAGAAGGAAAUAAACGGAUAUUUACAGAUGCGAUAAUCCACGGUCACAGGAGAGAGGGGUUGCCACAGGAGAGAGGGAUUCCACAUACACGCUCACACACACAUACACAUACACGUACACACACAUCACACGUAUUUCGCAGGGUCACUUGUGAAGUAGCGUGCUGCUCCUACGUCUCACAUCACACACAUACAUCACACAUACUCUACCCGAAGAGGGUGGAGCAAAUCGGCACUUUUCAGUGCCACAUUUUUAAGACGUUGACGUUGAUUGUUGCAAUAAACAAUCGGUACUUUUCAGUUCCACUCAAUAAAAGUUUAUAUUAUAUCA